rnacentral:rRNA from 2 species
UACGGAGGGUGCAAGCGUUGUCCGGAUUCAUUGGGUUUAAAGGGUGCGCAGGCGGGCGAUUAAGUCAGGGGUGAAAGACGGUUGCUCAACAAUCGCAGUGCCUUUGAUACUGGUUGUCUUGGGUGACCUUGAGGUAGGCGGAAUGGGUGGUGUAGCGGUGAAAUGCAUAGAUACCACCCAGAACUCCGAUUGCGAAGGCAGCCUACUGGAGGUUCACCGACGCUCAGGCACGAAAGCGUGGGGAUCAAACAGG